rnacentral:rRNA from 1 species
GUUGGCUUAGAAGCAGCCAUCAUUUAAAGAAAGCGUAAUAGCUCACUGGUCGAGUCGGCCUGCGCGGAAGAUGUAACGGGGCUAAACCAUGCACCGAAGCUGCGGCAGCGACACUGUGUGUUGUUGGCCAGUCGA